GAUGAACGCUGGCGGCGUGCCUAAUACAUGCAAGUCGAGCGAACAGACGAGGAGCUUGCUCCUCUGACGUUAGCGGCGGACGGGUGAGUAACACGUGGAUAACCUACCUAUAAGACUGGGAUAACUUCGGGAAACCGGAGCUAAUACCGGAUAAUAUAUUGAACCGCUUGGUUCAAUAGUGAAAGACGGUUUUGCUGUCACUUAUAGAUGGAUCCGCGCCGCAUUAGCUAGUUGGUAAGGUAACGGCUUACCAAGGCAACGAUGCGUAGCCGACCUGAGAGGGUGAUCGGCCACACUGGAACUGAGACACGGUCCAGACUCCUACGGGAGGCAGCAGUAGGGAAUCUUCCGCAAAGGGCGAAAGCCUGACGGAGCAACGCCGCGUGAGUGAUGAAGGUCUUCGGAUCGUAAAACUCUGUUAUUAGGGAAGAACAAAUGUGUAAGUAACUAUGCACGUCUUGACGGUACCUAAUCAGAAAGCCACGGCUAACUACGUG
rnacentral:rRNA from 1 species